ensembl:misc_RNA Metazoa_SRP Metazoan signal recognition particle RNA
GCCGGGCGUAGUGGUGUGCGCCUGUAAUCCCAGCUUCUCGGGAGGCUGAGGCAGGAGAAUUGCUGGAACCCGGGAUGCAGGGGUUGCAGUGAGCCAAGAUGGUGCCGCUGCACUCCAGCCUGGGCAAUAGAGCAAGACUCUGUCUCAA